rnacentral:rRNA from 1 species
UUAUCUGCAGUCGUGGGGCAGCGCGGGUAGCAAUACCUGGCGGCGACCGGCAAACGGGUGCGGAACACGUACGCAACCUUCCUUUAAGCGAUGAAUAGCCCAGGGAAACUUGGAUUAAUACAUCAUAAGACAGUGGAAUGGCAUCACUCAGCUGUUAAAGCUCCGGCACUUAAAGAUGGGCGUGCGGCUGAUUAGGUAGUUGGCGGGGUAACGGCCCACCAAGCCGACGAUCAGUAACUGGUGUGAGAGCACGACCAGUCACACGGGCACUGAGACACGGGCCCGACUCCUACGGGAGGCAGCAGUAAGGAAUAUUGGUCAAUGGACGCAAGUCUGAACCAGCCAUGCCGCGUGGAGGAUGAAGGCCCUCUGGGUUGUAAACUUCUUUUAUCUGGGAAGAAACCGGACUUUUCUAAGGCCGUUGACGGUACCAGAUGAAUAAGCACCGGCUAACUCCGUGCCAGCAGCCGCGGUAAUACGGAGGGUGCAAGCGUUAUCCGGAUUCACUGGGUUUAAAGGGUGCGUAGGUGGGCAGGUAAGUCAGUGGUGAAAUCUCUGGGCUUAACCCGGAAACUGCCGUUGAUACUAUCUGUCUUGAAUGUAGUGGAGGUGAGCGGAAUAUGUCAUGUAGCGGUGAAAUGCUUAGAUAUGACAUAGAACACCCAUUGCGAAGGCAGCUCGCUACACUAUUAUUGACACUGAGGCACGAAAGCGUGGGGAUCAAACAGGAUUAGAUACCCUGGUAGUCCACGCCCUAAACGAUGGAUACUCGGCAUCAGCGAUACACAGUUGGUGUCUGAGCGAAAGCAUUAAGUAUCCCACCUGGGAAGUACGACCGCAAGGUUGAAAC